rnacentral:lncRNA from 1 species
UUUCACUUGUUUUCAUGUUUUGAAGUGUUAAACGACUUGAGUUUUGACAGAAAAGUAACAAGGGAGAAAUGCAAAGGUUCGGCCGCCGAAGGUCACUUUCGGCCGCCGAACAUUGCAUGGUUGCGGCUUCACGUUCGGCUGCCGAAGGUGGUCUGGCCAGCCACCUAUAAAAGGGCCAAGGGUCGGUGGAAGGAGGUUAUUUCUCCUCCACUUGCAGCCAGAGGUGAGUUCCAGCCUCUCCUACGUUGACUUUCAUGUUUUCCAUGAUUUUCAUCAAAUCUUUCAAGAGUUUUAAGAGUUUUGGUGACUUUUGAAGGUUUUGAGCAAAAGAACCAAAGUUUGAAGCUUGGAGCUUUGGAAGAGCUUUUCUUCAUAUCUCCACGUUAGGAUCCUUCAUCCUCAAGUUCUUUAAGAGGUAAGUGAAGAUCCUGAGCUUCUUUGAUGAUUUUGAAAGUUUUAUGAAGUUUGUAUGGGUAGUAUGCAUG